rnacentral:rRNA from 1 species
CGUACCACACCGCCCCGUCACGAACCAUGGGAGUGGGUUGUACCCAAGAACGGAGGUAGAACCUAACCCGACGAAGGAGGUACGCCGUACCCAACGGGUAUGAUUCAUGACUGGGGUG